GUACUUACCCCGCAGGGGAGAUACCAAGAUUGUGAAGGUGGUUUUCCCAGAGCAAGGCACGCCCAUUGCACUCCAGGUGUGCCGACACCGGCAAUUUCCCCAAAUGUGGGACACUUGCCUGCAUGAUUUGUGGUAGAGAGGGACUGCAUUCUCCAUGACCUGC